UCACACUACGAGAUGGGACCCGCGGCGCAUUAGCUAGUUGGUAAGGUAACGGCUUUACCAAGGCAACGAUGCGUAGCCGACCUGAGAGGGUGAUCGGCCACACUGGAACUGAGACACGGUCCAGACUCCUACGGGAGGCAGCAGUAGGGAAUCAUCCGCAAUGGGCGAAAGCCUGACGGUGCAACGCCGCGUGAACGAUGAAGGUUUUCGGAUCGUAAAGUUCUGUUAUGAGGGAAGAACAAGUGCCGUUCGAGUAGGGCGGCACCUUGACGGUACCUCACGAGAAAGCCCCGGCUAACUACGUG
rnacentral:rRNA from 1 species